rnacentral:rRNA from 1 species
UACGUAGGGUGCGAGCGUUGUCCGGAAUUACUGGGCGUAAAGAGCUCGUAGGUGGUUUGUCGCGUUGUUCGUGAAAACUCACAGCUCAACUGUGGGCGUGCGGGCGAUACGGGCAGACUGGAGUACUGCAGGGGAGACUGGAAUUCCUGGUGUAGCGGUGGAAUGCGCAGAUAUCAGGAGGAACACCGGUGGCGAAGGCGGGUCUCUGGGCAGUAACUGACGCUGGAGGAGCGAAAAGCCAUGGGGAGCGAACAGG